UACAGAGGGGGCAAGCGUUGUUCGGAAUUACUGGGCGUAAAGGGCGCGUAGGCGGCCUCUUAAGUCGAACGUGAAAUCCCCGGGCUCAACCCGGGAACUGCGUCCGAUACUGGGAGGCUUGAAUUCGGGAGAGGGAUGCAGAAUUCCAGGUGUAGCGGUGAAAUGCGUAGAUAUCUGGAGGAAUACCGGUGGCGAAGGCGGCAUCCUGGACCGACAUUGACGCUGAUGAGCGAAAGCUAGGGGAGCAAGCGGG
rnacentral:rRNA from 1 species